rnacentral:rRNA from 1 species
CGUACUGCGUCAGUAACACGUGGAUAACCUGCCCUUAGGACUGGCAUAACCCCGGGAAACUGGGGAUAAUUCCGGAUAGUUCAUGGUAGUUGGAAUGCUCCAUGAUCGAAAGCUAUUGCGCCUAAGGAUGGGUCUGCGGUCUAUCAGGUAGUAGUGGGUGUAAUGUACCUACUAGCCGACGACGGAUACGGGUUGUGGGAGCAAGAGCCCGGAGAUGGAUCCUGAGACAUGAAUCCAGGCCCUACGGGGCGCAGCAGGGGCGAAAACUUUACAAUGGGGGGAACCGCGAUAAGGGGACACCGAGUGGCAGCAUCUUAUGUUGGCUGUCCGCAUGUAUAAAUCACAUGUGUUAGCAAGGGCCGGGCAAGACCGGUGCCAGCCGCCGCGGUAACACCGGCGGCCCGAGUGGUGGCCACUAUUAUUGGGUCUAAAGGGUCCGUAGCCGGUUUGGUCAGUCUUCCGGGAAAUCUGACGGCUUAACCGUUAGGCUUUCGGGGGAUACUACCAGGCUUGGGACCGGGAGAGGUAAGAGGUACUACGGGGGUAGGAGUGAAAUCUUGUAAUCCUCGUGGGACCACCAGUGGCGAAGGCGUCUUACCAGAACGGGUCCGACGGUGAGGGACGAAAGCUGGGGGCACGAACCGGAUUAGAUACCCGGGUAGUCCCAGCCGUAAACUAUGCUCGCUAGGUGUCAGGGACGGUGCGACCGUUUCUGGUGCCGCAGGGAAGCCGUGAAGCGAGCCACCUGGGAAGUACGGUCGCAAGGCUGAAACUUAAAGGAAUUGGCGGGAAUCACUAGU